GAAAGAACAGAGAAGGAAUAGAACAACUUUG
rnacentral:rRNA from 2 species